rnacentral:snRNA from 1 species
GUGCUUCCUUCGGCAGUACGUAUACUUAAAAUUAGAACCACACAGAGAUUGGCAUGGCCCUUGUGCAAGGAAGACACAAAUUCAUGAAGCAUUCUGUAUUUUU